rnacentral:rRNA from 1 species
CACGUAGGGGGCAAGCGUUGUCCGGAUUUAUUGGGCGUAAAGAGCUCGUAGGUGGUUCGGUAAGUCGGGUGUUAAACCCCCAGGCUCAACCUGGGGACGCCACGUCGAUACUGCUGUGACUAGAGUCCGGUAGGGGAGCGUGGAAUUCCUGGUGUAGCGGGUGAAAUGCGCAGAUAUCAGGAGGAACACCAGCGGCGAAGGCGGCGCUCUGGGCCGGUACUGACACUGAGGAGCGAAAGCGUGGGUAGCAAACAGG